rnacentral:rRNA from 1 species
CCUACGGGAGGCAGCUGUGAGGAAUAUUGGUCAAUGGACGCAAGUCUGAACCAGCCAUGCCGCGUGCAGGAAGACGGCUCUAUGAGUUGUAACCUGCUUUUGUACGAGGGUAAACGCAGAUACGCGUAUCUGUCUGAAAGUAUCGUACGAAUAAGGAUCGGCUAACUCCGUGCCAGCAGCCGCGGGAAUACGGAGGAUUCAAGCGUUAUCCGGAUUUAUUGGGUUUAAAGGGUGCGUAGGCGGUCGGAUAAGUUAGAGGUGAAAUCCCGAGGCUCAACUUCGGAAUUGCCUCUGAUACUGUUCGGCUAGAGAGUAGUUGCGGUAGGCGGAAUGUAUGGUGUAGCGGUGAAAUGCUUAGAGAUCAUACAGAACACCGAUUGCGAAGGCAGCUUACCAAGCUACUUCUGACGUUGAGGCACGAAAGCGUGGGGAGCAAACAGGAUUAGAUACCCCUGUAGUC